GGAGCUCGCGCUCUCUCUUUCUCUCUUCCCCACCUCGUUUGUCUCUUCACAGGGUGAUGAGGGAGCAGCGCUGUUGGCGGUAGAGGAGGUGCGUGGCAGUCCAGGAAGCUGUCAUUCCGCUGCUGUGUGCCGCUUCGCUUGUCGUCCGGCUUCAACCUCACUCUCUCUCUGUGCGUGUGUCAGAGUUGCCUUACCCUAACUCCUCGCUCUCCUCCCCCCUCAUUGAUUCCUCUUUCCGCCUGCCUCUCGUGUUCGCUCUCAGUCCUCUUUUAAUUUCUUCUCCUUUCCUGCUCUUUCUGAUUCUGCCGUCCCUCUUUUUGUGCCUUCCCUCGUCUUCUUCACCCGCCAGGAUAAGAGCUAGAGAUGGCUGCCUGGUGUGCAAAGCAAUGGCUGUUCUUUCCAAGAGUGAGCAGCAGUUGCAGCAGCAGGCAUCGGAUCAACCUGCCAAGCCAGGCCUUGGAGUUUGGACUUUGAAGCAGACUGCAUGCUUGCUGGGAGCAGAGUGGCAGACUGCUCUUCCAGUAAAACGUCCUUUGUCAGAUAAUGCCCACCAGGGUACAGUACUGGGGGAUGAUUCGACAGCUCACACAUGCACAGUGUGAUGGGUUUGAAGCAAUAAAAAGGCACCAGGUCCCCCAAUAGUCCCUUUUAAAAUGUCUCAUCUGCCACAGGUGCAAGCAAUUCAUUGACACAUGCUGGUUUCUCCCCCAAAAGCUAGAAAAACAAGCUACAGAAAGAAACCAAUUGAGCAGAAGUCCUUAGAUAGUUACCAUAUGCAGUGGUUACUGAUUUUAUAAAAAAAAAAAAAGAGAGAGAGAAAAAGAAUACUAACAUCCAAAAUAAACACCAUCUUUAACGGUCAAAUGGCAUGAAG